rnacentral:rRNA from 1 species
GAUGAACGCUGGCGGCGUGCCUAAUACAUGCAAGCCGAGCGGUAAGGUUCUGCACUUAGUAUUUGACCAGAUCAAGUCCACGGUAAGCGAUUACUGGGGAAACUGACUGAAGCAAGGAAACUCCAAGGCUGGAGAAUCCGAGUCGAAUCCUGGGUGUAGAAUACACGAGCGGCGGACGGCUGAGUAACACGUAGGAACGUA